CUUGGUCAUUUAGAGGAAGUAAAAGUCGUAACAAGGUCUCCGUUGGUGAACCAGCGGAGGGAUCAUUACCGAGUUUACAACUCCCAAACCCAAUGUGAACCAUACCAAACUGUUGCCUCGGCGGGGUCACGCCCCGGGUGCGUCGCAGCCCCGGAACCAGGCGCCCGCCGGAGGGACCAACCAAACUCUUUCUGUAGUCCCCUCGCGGACGUUAUUUCUUACAGCUCUGAGCAAAAAUUCAAAAUGAAUCAAAACUUUCAACAACGGAUCUCUUGGUUCUGGCAUCGAUGAAGAACGCAGCGAAAUGCGAUAAGUAAUGUGAAUUGCAGAAUUCGGUGAAUCAUCGAAUCUUUGAACGCACAUUGCGCCCGCCGGUAUUCUGGCGGGCAUGCCUGUCCGAGCGUCAUUUCAACCCUCGAACCCCUCCGGGGGGUCGGCGUUGGGGAUCGGGAACCCCUAAGACGGGAUCCCGGCCCCGAAAUACAGUGGCGGUCUCGCCGCAGCCUCCCCUGCGCAGUAGUUUGCACAACUCGCACCGGGAGCGCGGCGCGUCCACGUCCGUAAAACACCCAACUUCUGAAAUGUUGACCUCGGAUCAGGUAGGAAUACCCGCUGAACUUAAGCAUAUCAAUAAGCGGAGGA
rnacentral:rRNA from 1 species